UUUGUUGAGUUGGUUUUUGUGUCCCCAUCCUGCUUCCCAGCCUCUUGCAUCAGUCUCCACCCUUUAGCCAUAUGCUGUACCGUAGUCAUUGUUUUCUUCCUACCGUGUACAACAUCUCACCACGAAACAGCAGCAUGGGGCCAGCACUUGGGGCCCAAAAGCCUGAAGUCUGAAGAGGAAGGAAGCGGCAGUGCAAGCGUCACUGCAGAGGAGCCGGGCUAUGCCCAGUCACAGCUCCUGGCCUUCACCUCGAGGAUGAAGUUGAAGGCCACAGAGACAGAUGCACACUGUGCACAGAAGAAAACACAGCAGAUGCCACUUUGGAGAGGGCAAGAGAAAGGAAUAAACUCUAUUUGAUAAUUUAUAUUAGGAGGAAAGAGGACUGAAGAUGUUCUGUGUAGGAACAGAAGAACGGACAGCAUUUCUGUUAGUCAUUUCCUGGAAAAGUAAUAUUUUAAUGGGAAAUUAUGGAAACAAUCUAAAUGUCCAAUUGCUGUGCUAGGGUAGGGAUUAUUUUCUGGGAGGUGUGUGUGUGUGUGCGCGCGUGUGUGUCCCACACAUGGCUUUCUACUCUCCCAGAGGGCAAGGGCUAAGUGUGGGAAAUAGUGUGGAGCUUAGCUGAAGGACAGCUGUAGAGCAAAGCACAUCCAGGAGCCCCAGGUGUCACUGGGGUCUGGGCAGCCCCGAAAUGAGAUGGGGUAAGGUAUUGCUCAUUGCUCUUCAGAAAGAGUGCUUGAAGCCCCAGGCUUACUCUAUUGCUCUUUUAGUUUGACAUGGUAUUUGGAUUUUUUUUCUUUUUUCUUUUUUUUUUUGUUUUUUUGUUUUUUUGUUUUGUUUUUUGGGUUUUGGUUUUUGUUUUGUUUUGUUUUUGAAAGGUCUGAAAGUGAAACCCUUCACUAAAUGGCAAAAGAAACUGUCUGUGCUGCUCCAGUCCCUCCCUGUGUCCAUCUUUGUCCUCUCCCUGUCCCUUCCCUGCUACCUUCACCCAGUUUGUGUAUGUAAGCUCUGCAUUCAGACAGCUGCAGCAUUCCGAGGUUGGAAAUGUCACUGAUUCUUGCACCUUAGACCAGCCAACAGGUUUACCAGUUCCCUCCCUGCAGUACCCACUUCCCAGCUAUAGCCCCAGUCUGCAUGAGAAUUUGGUGUUUGGAAUGUUUAUGACUCUCUCGGCGGGGUUCCUCGCCUUGCCAUCCUCACUGUGGGGUAAUGAAGAAGGGGAGGAGAAUCUUCAUCAACUGGUUUUGUGUAAUAAACUUUCGUGUUUUGUUUUGAUUUGAUUUGAUUUGGGGUUGUUUUUCCCCCCUGUCUGUCUGUCUGUGCAAGAUCUGCAGCUGCUGAAAUCAGCUUUGCCUUUAAUUAAACCGUGUUCUCUCCAAGC
rnacentral:lncRNA from 1 species